CCUUGCACUAGCACAUCCAUACACUGGAAUAAUUCCAAGAUAUUAUUUUAUCUAUAUGACUUUACACAAUGCUGUUUACAGAACAAUAGAUUUACCAGAGGAAACCAGUACAAAACUGGCUGAAUGGUCAAACCCACCUAAAGGGUCUUUUUGCCAGGACUGAUCUUUUGGAGAAUUCAUUCCAGAUUGGCUUGACAGCAGAGUGGGAUCCCCCAUCCCCACUGAAUACUACAAAACUGAAGAACUACAUUUCUGCAUACCUACAAAAUCUACUCUAUAAAAUUCUAAGCCUAAAAAUUUUACUAAUAUUCUGGCUGCAACUAGGGAUUGGCCACCGAAGGCCCCCCUAGUAGUCAAUAAAAGGAUAAGAUGGAGCUCUCUGUACCAUUUUCUUCUGAUCCUCUGACCAGUGUCUCACUCUCUGAGGAUUAUCAAACCACUCAUUCCAGAGGUAGCAGACCUUGAGUUAUCUUCAAAAGACAUGCCACUCUAAUGGAAUUUUGCAGACUGUGGCAUUUAAAAGGGGCUUGUUCUGGUGCAUAUUCAUUUGGUGAGAAUUGGUCUUUAAAUGCCUAUUACUCUCUGCCAUUAGAAAAGUAGUGAUAGUGUGACACUUUAUGUUUUUGGCAUUCUUGAUUCUUAAACAAGAAAUAUAUUUGUACACUAUAAAUCACAAAUGUUAGAAAAUUGUAAUUCACAUAAUGUAGUAUAUACAACAUGAGUACUCUCCAAGAUGUAUGCUAUGGAAGACUGUGCCAGGUAGACAUUGAGUAAUUCAGAAGUCAACAACUACCAACAAAGUGCAAUCAAAAUGUCCAAAGGCUAUUGGGGAUCAGCUGCUGUAUAUGAUUGUAUAAUUCUGUGUGUAUAGGUGGUCCUCACCCAGAAUAAAUUGAGCAUGUCAAGCCUGCCUGAUGUGAAUGAUGGGGUAUGAACAUUUGUAUUUACAAAGCAACUGCUCCAAAUCUGUCCAAGCAGAAGGAAGAGCAGAUUGCAAAGGAGCAUCUAAGGCUGAAUCCCCACAGGCAUUUCCUAACAGUAGCAAAUUGUUUAUUUUUAUCUGAAACGUUGUAAUUUAGUAUAUGCUGUGUGGCAAAAUAAAAAGUUGAUGCAUACUGUAGUUUUGUAACAGAAUAACACUGGUUGUAAAAGCAUUUGCAGAAAAAGUACCAGUGAAGAUCCUGUUAUUAUAAAAGGGGUUUGAAAAGCCAAGAAAAAUUUCUUCAGCAUGCAAAGGAAAGCACCCUAACAAGGCAUAGCACUGUAAAUGUGCAUGAGAUGGAGGCCAUCAUUAAAAUUAUGGUAUGAAAGGAAACAGAAUAACAAGAAAAAAACAUGAGUUAAACCUGUCCCACACGGCAGUCCCUCCAACUAAUGCAAUGUAUAGUUCUCC